UUUUUGCUUUCCUCAACUGGGUUUUCCUUCGUUGUCGUUGUGCGCUCUGAUUUCUCUCAAUUUCUUCCUUUUCGUUUCGCGAAAUUAUCUCCGGCGAGACACGAUCUUUGAUUUUUGCAAUCAUUGUUGGCUGUUCUUCUCUGUUUUUGGCUGCCAUCCGUACGUUGGAUCGAUUUCGUCUUUUUCACCGUUUGUUUCAAGCCUCUCUUUUGAGAGAAUUUUUACGUAUUAAGGCUUUAGCGCCGUCGUUUUCCGAAGCCCUCUCAAGUUGUCGAGGAUAUGGAGGGAGAGCAAGUAAAAAGAUUGUAUUUAUUGUGUUGACGCAUUAUUGAACAAGAGACCCAAAAGGAAGGACAUAUUCGAUCUCAAGGAUGCGAAUCAUUGCUUCUUUAGAAAAGAUUAAGGAAGCUCCAUAGAAAAAGUUUCAGCUUUUGACUCAAAUUUCGACGGUGCCCCUAUCAUUUCUUCGAAAAUCAAAGCAACCCCAAGCAAUUCCGGAAUCAUUUUUAUUUGUCCCAAAAUCCAUGAUGUUGCAGCAAAGGAAAUAUCAGACACGACUCAGUCCAAAGGCUCCAACCAGAAAUGUAUCAGGUUCCCCAAUCAUUUCUGAAACCAUAUUUAUGGCUGCAAAACAGAGUAUGUAUACCCUUUCAUUGUUCUAUACUUUUUGAAUUAUUAACGAUCUAUUAAACAUGAUCUCUUUAUCCCAUUCGCUUAAAACUCAAAUAGUUCACUAGAUUUCUUUAUCAUAGUAUCUUUCGACCAUCUUUUGUAUGUAAGUCGGACAAUUUUGUAAAUCUUUUGUAUGUAAAUGUUAUAUACAUAUGCAUCAAGCAUUCUCUUUUGUAUGUAAAUAGGAUUAUCUACCAAAUCUUUUGCACAUAAAAUAGUAUGUAGAUAUAGAUCAAGUAUUUUUGUAUGUACAUAGUGCUAUACACAAAAUUUCAUACAGUUUUCAAUCCCGCAGCAUCGCGC